rnacentral:sRNA from 1 species
UGAAAUACUUCCUUCAGAUGUUCCAGGU